rnacentral:rRNA from 1 species
GCGCACGCUGGCGGCGUGCUUCACCCCUGCCAGUCGCACGGGAUUUAGUAAACGGAAGCCUCGGUGGAAGAUUACUAAUGAGAGUGGCGAACGGGUGAGUAACGCGUGAGCAACCUGCCUAUGACAGUGGGAUAGCCUCGGGAAACCGGGAUUAAUACCGCAUAAAAUCGUAGAAACACAUGUUUCAACGGUCAAAGAUUUAUCGGUCAUAGAUGGGCUCGCGUCUGAUUAGCUAGUUGGUGAGAUAACAGCCCACCAAGGCGACGAUCAGUAGCCGGUCUGAGAGGAUGAACGGCCACAUUGGAACUGAGACACGGUCCAAACUCCUACGGGAGGCAGCAGUGGGGAAUAUUGCACAAUGGGGGAAACCCUGAUGCAGCGACGCCGCGUGAACGAAGAAGGUAUUCGUAUCGUAAAGUUCUGUCCUAUGGGAAGAUAAUGACAGUACCAUAGAAGAAAGCUCCGGCUAAAUACGUG